rfam:Tupaia chinensis contig240266, whole genome shotgun sequence.
UGAUGCCCCUCACCCACCGCUGAAGAUCCCAGGUGGGCGAGGGGACAGCCAGAGGGAUC